rnacentral:lncRNA from 1 species
AGUUCUUCAGGGCUGUCUCUGUGAUCCAGGCUUUGAUCUGGGAAAGGUUGCGCCUCAUUGCAGAGUUGAAGCUAUCUGCCUGCUUUGUUUACACGAACGCCCUUCCAGGACUCUGUCUGCUUUUGGGGUGGAAGUGCCCUGCCAAAAACUCCAGCUCUCCAUGCUGGCUGUGUGGCCAGCAUACCUCCUGCCUUUUCAACGAUUCCUCUGCCCUGGAUAGAGAGCGGUGUCUCAUAACAGUUUGGAAACUACAAAAGUUUCCCUGGCAGGAUGAAUGAUUGACUCGGCAACAUGUUCUUGCCUUUUGGAGUUGCCCUCCAAUUUUUCCAGGCUUGAUUCUGUAAAUCAUUUCAUCUUGUAAAAAUACUGGGCUGUGAGCACGGAUGAUCUCAAAGAUGAGGAAACAGAAGCUGGGAUAUGUGAGUAAACAUUUCCAAGGUCCUGCAGCUAAUCAAUGGUUGACAACUUCUUUCCUCUGCCUAUGUUGCCAUCCAUGUCAUGGUUUGUGUCAAGACUCUAGGAGAAGUCUACCAUCAGCACCACAGCUACUGUGCACAAAUCCAGAAUGCCAGACUGAAGUCAGAAGGAAAGGACCUGGCUUUUAAAAAUGGUGAAGGGAAAUGUUCUUAUCACCCAUUCCUGUCAGAGAUGAUGCAGCUCAUUGCUGAUGCUGAGAUCCAACGUCCAGUGCCUGAGUACCCCUGGAUUCUGAGCACUAGGGGCUGGACUGUGGAGACCAUCAGUUCAUAACAUCCUGUCCCUGCUCCCUGCUGUAGAUGACUGAGACCAGAAAGAAGAUUGGAAAAAUCUCCCAUGACCAAGGAAAAUUGUGAAAAAUAUUUCUGAUAUUUUGUCUAUGCAUUUUAUUUUUGAGGGUGUUUUUUAUAUUAGUGUGACUAUUUUGUAUUUCCUACCCUGUUGUAAACUUUUUAAAAAUUGCUCUUACAGUUAUUACUAAGUAUAUGAUUUAAAAUCCCUAAUUAGGGUUCUUAAACAAGGGAGAAGCACUCUCAUACCCCUAGAACAAGAUGAACAAAAGAAGGAGGAAAAAUCUUGACCUCCGUAAGAUCCAGGAUGGCACGUGCAAGGCACUGACACAGCAUCUGCCGGCAUCACUGACUCUCCUGGACCCCAGAAGCCCAGUUCCCCAGGCUCUGAAACCCUGCAGCAAUGAAAAGGAAGCACAGGCAAACCAUAAGGAAGAUAAUUUUUCUACUAAAAAAUAAAUAGAAAUGCAUCCUUAGAGGCAGGUUUCAUGAGGACACAGAGAAUCCGGUUUUGUGUGUGCCUGAUUUCGUUUUUCUGUCAAAGAGAUACAAAACAAUCAACUGAGUUAUCUUGAACUUACAAAGAUUAAAAAUAAUCAAUUCCUGUUACUAUUUUCAAUUUUUCCCCCAUUUUACUUCUUUAGGUAUGAAGAAAUGUAGCCUAUUAAAACCUGGAUUAAUAAAAACCUUUCAUUAACUUUUAGAA